UACGUAGGGUGCGAGCGUUAAUCGGAAUUACUGGGCGUAAAGCGUGCGCAGGCGGUCUGUUAAGACCGAUGUGAAAUCCCCGGGCUUAACCUGGGAACUGCGUUGGUGACUGGCAGGCUUUGAGUGUGGCAGAGGGAGGUAGAAUUCCACGUGUAGCAGUGAAGUGCGUAGAUAUGUGGAGGAAUACCGAUGGCGAAGGCAGCCCCCUGGGAUAACACUGACGCUCAUGCACGAAAGCGUGGGGAGCAAACAGG
rnacentral:rRNA from 1 species